GAUGAACGCUGGCGGCGUGCCUAAUACAUGCAAGUCGAGCGAACAGACGAGGCGCUUGCUCCUCUGACGUUAGCGGCGGACGGGUGAGUAACACGUGGAUACCCUACCUAUAUUACUGGUAUAACUUCGGGAAACCGGAGCUAAUACCGUAUAAUCUCUUGCACCGCAUGGUUCAAUAGUGAAAGUCGGUUUUGCUGUAUCUUAUCGAUGCUUCCCCGCCGCAUUAGCUAGUUGGUAAGGUAACGGCUUACCACGGCAACGAUGCGUAGACGACGGGAGAGAGGGGUAGGCGACAUGGGAGCGGGGACAGGGACCAGAGGCCUAAGAGAGGGAGCAGAAGGGAACGUGAGGCAAUAGGCGGAAGCAUGACGGAGCAAGGCGGCGUGAGAGGUAAAGGUCUUCGGAUCGUAAAACUCUGUUAUUAGGGAAGAACAAAUGUGGAAGUAAAUAUGCACGGAUUGACGGUAAUGAAUCAGAAAGCCACGGCUAACUACGUG
rnacentral:rRNA from 1 species